rnacentral:rRNA from 1 species
UACUUCGACUCCGUCGCUCUGCAGGUGGCAGCAACUAGCUGAUCUGGCUGAUCUCCAAAACUAAGGAGAGUCAGGCCAGGCUAGUACUUGGAUGGGAGGAUUCCUUGGAAUGCCUGGUGUUGAAGGUU